ACAUGAGAGUACUAUCUUUCUAACAUUUGUUUUAUUGGUUCCCAAAUUUUUACAAAUUUCCCUAGUCCCAGUCAUAGUCUUGCAUUAAUUUGUUCCAUUUUGUAGACCUGUCUAACUCUGUCUCUCCACUGUGCCACCCUUGGGGGUUCUGUGUCCAGCCAUAAAACUGCAAUACACUUCUUGGCAGUCAUAAGCAGAAUUCUGAUUACGUAUGUCUCCAUUAUGUGUGUGUGAUUUUUGGUACAGCAUUCCCAGUACAAACCAUUUUAACUUAAAUUGUAAUUUCACCUUCAAGGUUCUUUCAAUUUCUCCCUAACACCUUCCCAGAAUGGUAUGAAUUUAGGGCAGUCCAAAAGUAUAUGUGAAAAGUCUCCCACUAGCCUGCAUUUUCUCCAACAUAAAUUUGGAACAUUACUAUUUAGACAUGAUAAGUGGAGUUUUAAAGCAUGCAUCUUCACCUUCCAUUCAAAUUCCCUCCAAGACGGACUAUUAGUUAGUUUAUGGCCUGCUUCAAGUGUUUCCUCCCAUUCCUCAUCUGUUAUCAUUAUGUUCACUUCCAGUUCCCAUUUUUCUUUAAUAUCUAUAUUCUUAAUCAAAUCCUGUUGUAAAGCUUUAUAUAUUUUGAAAUCAGUCCUUUUUGACAUGUCCUUUUUGUUUAACAUAAUCACUUCCUCCAUAUUAAGUUUAUCCUUGCUUGAAACUUUGCCUUAUUUUGAAAUAACUACUCUGUCUGUCUGUCCUAAAUAACAUAUUAAGCAUGAAAUUACGAAUUAUUGUGAAAUUACACGCACAGGAAGUGCUUUUAUUUUGUAGCAUUUGCUCAGUCAGCUCUCGAAGGCGAAGCUUCUCAGCAGACGGAGAAGAAGAGCGAGGGUCGGAGCAGCAUUAACCGUCGGAGGUCGCGCUUCUGUUCUGCAUCUGCACUUGACAGUCACUCGUUCUGCACCACUGAGCUAAAUGUAAGUAGCCGCCAUAAAAGUUGCUUAAAUGUUGUAAAUGUUUUUAAGACGGACAUGGUGAGUAAUGUUGGCCACGUAGCAAGCUAAUAUGCUAAGUCAUUGCAUGAGUUAGCUGUGUUAUUAACUUUGUGUGCGACUAAAGUCCGUUUAUUAAAUUAAAUGAGCAGCGUUAUCUCAUUAUUAAAGGUUAGCAUUACUUUAGAUACUUUUUUAUUAGACUUCUAGAGACUUAUUCCCUCCAUUUUUGUCCCCUCCAUCGUAAUUUUUUAAACGUGACGUUCUGAGAAAAAAAUAAAAGCGGGAGCUCAGCGCCACCAAGUCAAACUUAAACGUCCACUUAUUAAAGGUAAAUGAGCAGUGGUCUCUUGUACAGCGAUGAAAAAAUCAGUCUGUGUUGUAAACUAUUUCCCCAUAGCACCCGUGCGAUAGCCUUGCAAGCAGCCUGGUUUUUUAACCGUAGAAGAGGAUUGUGACUGCAAGAGACGAAGCGGUGCUGAUCUCGAUGCUAUGUUCCCUCCUUCCCUCCAUUUUUGUCCCCUCCAUAGUUUUUUUAAAAGGUGAUGUUCUGAGGACAAAAAAAAAACGGUAAGUUCAGUUAGCUCGCGGGAGUUUGUCAGUUUUUGUGAAAAGUUUUAUUUAAUACACGCAUAGACAUACAAAUUUUGUUAAUGUUUUUAUCAUCAAAUUAAAUAGUGCUCAGUUGCACAUAUCUUGAAUGCAGAACGCUGUUUCUAUUAAUUUCACAGUAUUUUAGUGUUGUAAAUUUGUCCUUACUGUACACUGUUACUCCAGAUUCUUUUCUUUAAAUGUUAUGUUUUUAGCUUUGUGUGGAUAAGUCAAAUUACACUUGAAUCUCCUCACACACACACACACACACACAUAUAUAUAUAUAAUUUAGAUGAUUUAGCUUCAUAUAUAGUGGAGGACUGCCUAAAUUUUGCAGACUAACACAGAUCUACCUUGUGAUUCACAAUGUUUGUUUUCUCUACUGAAUAUGCUUCCUGGUGUAGAUGUGCAUUCCUAUGAGCUGUCAGCCACAUCGGGAAGCCUGUCUAUGAAUCUGCAGUCAGACUUCAAUGAUCCAACCCCACUCUCUGCACACAAGAUUGAUGGCAUGCUGCUGUUGACCCCCAAGAGGUUCAUACAAGUGAGACCACUGGUGAGUAAUUCUCACAAUCUGCAUUUUUGAUGGCACAUCCUAAAUAACAUGACUAUAUAUGUAUGUAUGUAUAUAUGUAUACAGAUUAGGGCUGUCGCGGUUGAGGAAUUCCCCCUGCGGUGAGUCAGGGCAGCUCAAUAUUGCGGUAUGCGAUAUUAUUGCACCCCGUUUUUAUUUAUGUACUUAGCAAAUUUGUUUGUUGAUUACUAAACUCAUGUCAAUAUUUCCUUUGAAACAUUGUGCUUACAUAUUUAAAAAAUGUUAGAAAAAAUACAUGGCCAUUUUUAACACUUUACUGAAUGCAGAUCGAAGGGCAGUUACGGCAUUUUCUGACUGAACUUAAAAACAACAUUCAGGAGGUUUAACUUUGAAAUGCAAAUUUGGCUGCACAUAUAACAGAAAUAAAAAAGUGCCCGUUUUGUUUUGUAGUUUAAAAUAAAGUAUACAAAAUGAGAUGUCCUAGGCACUGUCAUUUCACUUUCACACACAAGAAUAACAUAACUCGGUCAUGUCCUUGUUAUGCGCAAGGAAAACCAGCAUGUUAACCUUAUGCGGUUUGAGAGAGGAUCUGAGAGGGGUGACAACAUUUCCAGCGACACUAAAAACCCUCUCGGAUGGUGCGCUUGUUGCGCAAAUACACAUGUACUUACGUGCGACUUUGGAGAGCAAUAGAAAUCUCCCAUGUUUGUUGCGCCACCAUGUCAGAGGGUUUUCAUUAGGGUCAAUGGGUUCCUCCUGCAGGUAGCAAGUGAGCUCCAGCUCGGCUCUAACUCUCUUCGGGACGGUUACAGAUGACGUGCUUGUCCGUGACUUCAGCAGGUCUCCAAGCGUUUUUUUCUUUGCCGCUGGUGGCAGCACUGCCUGCUCCAAGGUCUCUGGCUGGGCUGCAGCUGACGCACUGACACCGCUCCCUCCAUCUUCCAUGUGUACUAUCUCCUCGAUCAGCACGGACUUUACCUCUCAGCAUGCGCUGUCGCGAGAUUUAAUCAAGUGCGGUAAUGGCGGUGGCACGUCCUGCAGCGCGGUGGGUUUCUUAAUAUCGCGAUAUUUUCUUCUUGCGGUUACCGCGACAGCCCUAAUACAGAUUUGUCUUUUAAAACUGGUGAAUAUACAAUUUACAGGUAAUGCCUUUAUGCUAUGAGUAUUAGAGCCACUGAUGGAAAAAAAAUGUAGAAUUCUGAGAAAAUAAGUCAUAAAUCUGAGUUUAAUCUCAGAGUUCUGACUGGUACCUAAAACAAAAAAAAGGGAAAUUGGGGAAGAUUAUGAGGGGGGAUCAGAAUUCUGACUUAAAUCUUAAAAUUCAGGCUUUUUUUUUUGUUCGUUUGUUUUGAUUUUUUUUUAACAAAAAAAAUUCCUAAAUAGUUUUUUGUUUGUUUGGUUUUAGGUUCAUGAAAAAAGUCAGAAUUCUGACUUUAAUCCCAGAAUUUUGAAAUUAUCUGACUUUUUUUCUCAAUUCUUUUCUUUUUCUUCAGUUACUCUAAUACUCUUAGGCAAUAAGGCAGUAUUAGGGCCACUGAAGGAAACAAUUGAAUACUGAGAUAAAUGUCAGAGUUCUGACUUUAUUUAUUUUAAGAAUUUUUUCUUCUUCAGUGGCCCUAAUACCCCUCCGUAAUAUGUAAUGUUAAACACUUCAAAUUAACUUUUGAAUUCAGCAGUUUAUCAUUGGAUUUAGAUGCAGAUAUCACUGUCUUGGAAAAUUGGUCAGAGCAGUUUGGCAUUAAGUAAAAACUUGACAGUAUUUACACUCUUAAUAAUCUUCUUAGGAAUUACAUGAUGUCCACACAAGGCGUACCACUGUUCUCCAUGCCCUUCCUGUCUAUCUUUGUGAGGAAACCUCUGGAUUUUUGAGGACAUGUGUGGUAAGUCCCAGUAUUGUAAAUUUGAACAAAUCAUUCUAUUUAUUUAUGCAUAAAGACAACACAAGGACAACGCACAUGAACAUUUUGGAAAAUGUGCCAUUGUUUCAACUACAAACCUUUGGCAAGAUGUUUAAGCCUGCCACACACGAGAGCAAUCAGCUGAGCAAACGGCCUCGAAUGACUGUUUGCUCAGCAGAUUGCUCGCCGUGUGCGCCUGAUUUUCACUGAGUUUUCCGCCUCACGAGACGCUGAGGUGAAUAUCUGACCAGUUAGAUAUUUUGCGCCUCACAGGGGUAAAAACUCACCAUGUGUGCACUACUGAGCUGCUGGCUGAGCUGAAAUAUUCUAGUGGCCAAUCAAAGCACUUUCUCUGCUCACAUGACCCCAAGAUGUAUUCAGAUGCAGCCCCUUGCCUUGUCUGCGUGUCUGAAAAAUAAACAAAAUGGUACCUUGUGGAUCGAUGGGCCCACUGUUUCCAUUACCCUUUCGGAAGGAUUCUGGGUCUUCCAGGUGCAUCUCUUGGAGUAAAUUGGCAUAAACUCCUUGCCUGGUCCAUCUUUCCAGCUACUGUACCCAUAUUUUCCUAACCUUGAAAUGCCGGUGGCGGCGACGUUUCAUCAACAAAAAAGGAUAGGCAUUUCCUCCGUUUCCAGCUCUGUCUCUGUGUUGUUUCUUUUCUGACAUGCAGACAGGGGGCUGCCAUCUUGGGGUCAUGUGAGCGGAGAACGUGCUUUGGUUGGCCACUAGAAUAUUUCAGCUCAACCAGCAGCUCGGUAAUGCGCACACGGCGAGUUUUUACCCCUGUGAGGCGAAAAAUAUCUUAACUGGUCAGAUAUUCACCUCAGCGUCUCGUGAGGCGGAAAACUCUGUGAAAAUCAGGCGCACAUGGCGAGGUAUCUGCUGAGCAAGCGGUCAUUCAAGGCCGUUUGCUCAGCAGAUGGCACUCAUGUGGCAGGCUUUAAGGCACUGAGAAAAAUCAACAAUCACUGCAAAGAAUUCAAGCAGCUUUCAUUAGCGUAACACUGGCACACACUGAAGCAUCUCACUUUAUUCGUAAAUGAGAGCACAAAGCAACAGAAUGAACAGGAGUAGGGCUGGGCGAUAUGGCCUAAAAUCAAUAUCACCAUAUAUUGAAGAUCUCACCUCGAUAACGAUAAGUAGACAAUAACUACAGGAAUGCGUAGCAACAAUAUUUGUCCACUAGAUGGGGCUGUCUCAUGUAUUACAUUGACUAAAAUUUUACAUGACUCAAGGUGCUACAGCUUCUUAAAGGGACAUAAAUGUGGCCAACUUACACAUCUUUUCAUUUUUUUAUUAUCAAAUUUAUUGACAUGGGAAAAAUUAUCUGGAUGAGAGACAAGAACUUGGAUAACGAUAAAUCUUUGACAUGUUGCCCAGCCCUAAACAGGAGUCUAUCAGACUGCAUUUAUUGUUAUUUACACGACAAUCUACUGAAAUAAAAAUGGCCACAGUCAGAGUUUCAGUUCAGAUGUGAUUAGUGUAUGAUCUCCCUUUCAUUUUUGUAAGGAUGAUACCAAUGAGCCGGACCUCGGAUGCAGCAGUUGUCCUCCUGACAACCAUCACAGAUGAUGCUGAGAGUCCAGUUACGUACGACCCAGUGAGAAUCUGUUAUCCUAGAGGGUGAUGUGAUUGUCAACCUCUCCAGCCUUCCUGAUGCCUUCCUGGGCAUGCUCAGUUGAAGUUUCCAUCUCUGCGCGUUCAAGAUGUAAGAAAAAUAACACGAAAGAAAUGCAACGACGAAAACUUCAAAAAGGCAUCAACAACCAAGCAAGUGGAUCCAUAAAAUGGACUGAUUUUUUUAAAGGCAUUUAAAAAAAGUCUUUCAAAAUGGACAGAAUUAACGCGUCAUGUUCAGAACAGUUUGCGUUCUCAUCUUUGAUUAAUCCUGGUAAACAGGUCUGUUUUUGUUCUGUUCUAAUUCUCUCUGUUUAAUAAAUUUAAACAAAAUGA